rnacentral:rRNA from 1 species
AACGAACGCUGGCGGCAUGCCUAACACAUGCAAGUCGAACGAUACCUCCCGUUCUUGUGUCGCACGUGUGCGUGACGCGUGGGAACCUGCCCAUAGGGUCGGUAUACCUCCCCGUUAGGGGUGCUAAUACCGGAUAAUUUCUUCUGACCCAGGAUAUACCGCCUUUGGCUGGGCCGGCGUUGGGUUAGCUUGUUGGUAGGGUAAAAGCCUACCUCGGCGCCGAUCCAGAGCUGGUCGGAGAGGAGGAACAGCCACACUGGGACGGAGACACGGCCGAGACUCCUACGGGAGGCAGGAGGGGGGAAUAUUGGACAAUGGGCGAGAGACUGAUGGAGCACUGCCGCGUGAGAGAUGAAGGCGUUAGGGUUGUAAAGCUGUUUUGCCCGGGAGGAUAAUGACGGUACCGGGAGAAUAAGCGCCGGCUAACUACGUG